CGCAUUAGAAAAUUAUCAUGCAUCUCUCCCUGGCCCCAUUGCUUUAGUUUCAUUUAGAGAUAUGGCAUGGAAACAGGCCCUUCCGCCCACCGACCUACACCGAUUAUCGAAUGCCCUUUCGCACUAGUUCCAUGUCAUCCCACUUUCUCAUCCACUCCCUACACACUAGGGGCAAUUUUACAGAGGUUAAUAAUGACUCCAAACCCAUAUGUCUUUGGGAUGGAACUGGAGCCACCAGAGAAAACCCAGGCGGUCACAGGAAAAUCGUGCAAACUCCACACAGCCAGCACCCGAGGUCAGUAUGAAACUCGGGGCACUGGCGCUGUGAGGCAGCAACUCUCUCCGCUGCAUCACUGUGCACACUUGUGUGAUUGGAGUUUGUUAGUUGUGUGUUUGGGAUAAGGUCAAAUCAUGAAGCCAUCAGCUGAGACCUAGGUGAUUGAAUAAGCAUUGGUCUGAACCAGCCUCAUCCUUGCCCUGUGUUCCCCUACAAGGGAAUGGGAUAUAAACGUGAAGUAUAUAAUACAAUUAUUGACAAAUUUACCAAUUUGAACUGUUAAUAAAUAUUUUUCAUGAA